rnacentral:rRNA from 1 species
AUUGAGCGCUGGCGGCAGGCCUAACACAUGCAAGUCGAGCGGCAGCGGGAAAGUAGCUUGCUACUUUUGCCGGCGAGCGGCGGACGGGUGAGUAAUGCCUGGGAAAUUGCCCAGUCGAGGGGGAUAACAGUUGGAAACGACUGCUAAUACCGCAUACGCCCUACGGGGGAAAGCAGGGGACCUUCGGGCCUUGCGCGAUUGGAUAUGCCCAGGUGGGAUUAGCUAGUUGGUGGGGUAAGGGCUCACCAAGGCGACGAUCCCUAGCUGGUCUGAGAGGAUGAUCAGCCACACUGGAACUGAGACACGGUCCAGACUCCUACGGGAGGCAGCAGUGGGGAAUAUUGCACAGUGGGGGAAACCCUGAUGCAGCCAUGCCGCGUGUGUGAAGAAGGCCUUCGGGUUGUAAAGCACUUUCAGCGAGGAGAAAAGGUUGAUGCCUAAUACGUAUCAACUGUGACGUUACUCGCAGAAGAAGCACCGGCUAACUCCGUGCCAGCCGCCGCCGUAAAAC